rnacentral:tRNA from 2 species
AGGAAUUUAUUUAAUUAUAAUAUUUGAUUUGCGUUCAAAAGGUGUCUAAAGACUUUUCUUA